AAUAGAUACCCGGGUAGUCCACGCCGUAAACGAUGAGUGCUAAGUGUUGGGGGGUUUCCGCCCCUCAGUGCUGCAGCUAACGCAUUAAGCACUCCGCCUGGGGAGUACGGUCGCAAGACUGAAACUCAAAGGAAUUGACGGGGGCCCGCACAAGCGGUGGAGCAUGUGGUUUAAUUCGAAGCAACGCGAAGAACCUUACCAGGUCUUGACAUCCCGGUGACCACUAUGGAGACAUAGUUUCCCCUUCGGGGGCAACGGUGACAGGUGGUGCAUGGUUGUCGUCAGCUCGUGUCGUGAGAUGUUGGGUUAAGUCCCGCAACGAGCGCAACCCUUAUUCUUAGUUGCCAUCAUUCAGUUGGGCACUCUAAGGAGACUGCCGGUGAUAAACCGGAGGAAGGUGGGGAUGACGUCAAAUCAUCAUGCCCCUUAUGACCUGGGCUACACACGUGCUACAAUGGACGGUACAAACGGUUGCCAACCCGCGAGGGGGAGCUAAUCCGAUAAAACCGUUUUCAGUUCGGAUUGUAGGCUGCAACUCGCCUACAUGAAGCC
rnacentral:rRNA from 1 species